rnacentral:rRNA from 1 species
UUCCGGUUGAUCCUGCCGGACCUGACUGCUAUCGGAUUGAUACUAAGCCAUGCGAGUCUUUGUAGUAAUACAAGGCAGACGGCUCAGUAACACGUAGUCAACCUACCCUAUGGACGAGAAUAAUCUCGGGAAACUGAGCAUAAUUCUCGAUAGAUCAUAAUGCCUGGAAUGGUUUAUGGUUAAAAUGAUUCGUCGCCAUAGGAUGGGACUGCGGCCCAUCAGCUUGUUGGUGAGGUAAUGGCCCACCAAGGCGAUUACAGGUACGGGCUCUGAGAGGAGAAGCCCGGAGAUGGGUACUGAGACACGGACCCAGGCCCUAUGGGGCGCAGCAGGCGAGAAAACUUUGCAAUGUGCGAAAGCACGACAAGGUUAAUCCGAGUGAUUUCUGCUAAAGAAAUCUUUUGCCAGUCAUAAAACCACUGGUGAAUAAGGGGUGGGCAAGUUCUGGUGUCAGCCGCCGCGGUAAAACCAGCACCUCAAGUGGUCAGGAUGAUUAUUGGGCCUAAAGCAUCCGUAGCCGGCUUUGUUAGUUUUCGGUUAAAUCCAUGUGCUCAACACAUGGGCUGCCGAAAAUACUGCAUGGCUAGGGAGUGGGAGAGGUAGACGGUACUCAGUAGGAAGGGGUAAAAUCCUUUGAUCUAUUGAUGACCACCUGUGGCGAAGGCGGUCUACCAGAACACGUUCGACGGUGAGGGAUGAAAGCUGGGGGAGCAAACCGGAUUAGAUACCCGGGUAGUCCCAGCUGUAAACGAUGCAGACUCGAUGAUGCAUUGGCAUAAUAGCCAAUGCAGUGUCGCAGGGAAGCCGUUAAGUCUGCCGCCUGGGAAGUACGUACGCAAGUAUGAAACUUAAAGGAAUUGGCGGGGGAGCACCACAAGGGGUGAAGCCUGCGGUUCAAUUGGAUUCAACGCCGGA